rnacentral:lncRNA from 10 species
ACUUCCGGUUCCCGCGCGGCGCUCCAAAGCUCGGGGAGUGGUGGUCUCCCUUUCCUGGAGUCAUUUGUGGGAGUUAGGGUCUUAUCCUGAUCUUUCCUCGUCCCCCGCUCCCCCGUCCUCCGAGGUGGCAGCUGCAUCGGGGGUCAUACUACACAUCGAUCGGGACCUUAGUCAUGUUGUGAUAUGGACAGCUUUCUUACCAGUACUCAUAAGCCUGCUUCAUUUUUUACGUGGCGGCACCACUGAGUGGUUGACGAAGUCUGGAACGUUUUUUCUUAGAGUUCCAGAAUUGAGACUGAAGUGUACCCAGAGACACAAAGAAAUACAGAAGUCCAGAAUGAUCAAAUGAGAUCACUACCCAAUGAAAUGAUGGGCCGAGGAGCCAGAAGUUGUCCUACUACCUGCUUUCCAGGUCCAGAUUCCACGAGAGCCUUCUGGGCUCCCACCAGAGACCCUCAGUGAAGACUCUGUUGAAGACUUUAAGACCAUGCUAGAAAGCCUCCCGGCAGAGGUUCAGGAAGUUCUGCUAUGAGGAUGCAGCUGGCCCCAGGGAUGUCCUCAGGCAUCUCUAGGACCUUGCUGGACGGUGGUGGCUGAGACCUGAUAUCCACACAAAGGAGCAGACUGUGGAAAUGCUGGUGCAGGAGCAAUUCCAGGCUGUCCUGCCCGAGGAGCUCAGAGCUCAAGCACAGAGAUGUCAGCCUGGAAUCAGAAUCACUGGCUAAGUCUUGCUGCUUGCUUCUUGCUCAGCCUGCAUAUGAGAAGUCAACCAAGCAU